CCUGUUCACUGCUGCAGUGUUUGCAUAGAGAGUGUGUUUUACAUGAGCGACACACACUUCAGUGCUCUGCAUGUGUUUAUAACUCUGACAAACAUCAAACAUGAUCAACAACUGUUUCUCACUAGAACUGAACCUACAACCAACAAAAAUGACUUUCAUCACCAUAUUGAUCUGGACUCUGACUGUAUUAUGUAGAGAAUCUAUUGGGCAGGUGACAGUGACUCAAACUCCCUCAGUGCUGCUCGCUCAAACUGGACAAUCAGUCACUGUGACCUGUAAAUCCAGCAGUGAUCCUACCUGCUGUUGUAGUGGAAAGCAGUGUCUCAGCUGGUACUUACAGAAACCUGGAGAAGCUCCUAAACUCCUGAUUUAUGGAACAAGCAGCCUCCAGUCAGGAACUCCAUCUAGAUUCAGUGGCAGUGGAUCUAACAGUGAUUUCACUCUGACCAUCAGUGGAGUCCAGACUGAAGAUGCUGGACAUUAUUACUGUCAGAGUUACCACUACAUCAACAGUUAUGUGUUCACACAGUGA